UACGUAGGGGGCAAGCGUUGUCCGGAUUUAUUGGGCGUAAAGAGCGUGUAGGCGGCUUUGCAAGUCCGUUGUGAAAACUCGAGGCUCAACCUCGAGACGCCGGUGGAAACUGCAAAGCUAGAGUCCGGAAGAGGAGAGUGGAAUUCCUGGUGUAGCGGUGAAAUGCGCAGAUAUCAGGAAGAACACCGGUGGCGAAGGCGGUUCUCUGGGCAUGUCCUGACGCUGAGGAGCGAAAGUGUGGGGAGCGAACAGG
rnacentral:rRNA from 1 species